AGCGAACGCUGGCGGCAGGCCUAACACAUGCAAGUCGAACGAACCUUUCGGGGUUAGUGGCGGACGGGUGAGUAACACGUGGGAACGUGCCUUUAGGUUCGGAAUAACUCAGGGAAACUUGUGCAAAUACCGAAUGUGCCCUUCGGGGGAAAGAUUAAUCGCCUUUAGAGCGGCCCGCGUCUGAUUAGCUAGUUGGUUGAGGUAAUGGCUCACCAAGGCGACGAUCAGUAGCUGGUCUGAGAGGAUGAUCAGCCACAUUGGGACUGAGACACGGCCCAAACUCCUACGGGAGGCAGCAGUGGGGAAUCUUGCGCAAUGGGCGAAAGCCUGACGCAGCCAUGCCGCGUGAAUGAUGAAGGUCUUAGGAUUGUAAAAUUCUUUCACCGGGGACGAUAAUGACGGUACCCGGAGAAGAAGCCCCGGCUAACUUCGUG
rnacentral:rRNA from 1 species